rfam:Gossypium arboreum cultivar AKA8401 contig_41423_1, whole genome shotgun sequence.
AUCCCAUGAUGAGGACACUUACGCAAUAACUCCUUGAAUCGCUCCCAAACCUCAUACGAAGACUCUUCAACCAGUUGUUGGAAGGUUGUGAUCUUGUUCCUCAACUU